AGUGAACGCUGGCGGUAGGCCUAACACAUGCAAGUCGAACGGCAGCACAGUAAGAGCUUGCUCUUACGGGUGGCGAGUGGCGGACGGGUGAGGAAUACAUCGGAAUCUACUUUUUCGUGGGGGAUAACGUAGGGAAACUUACGCUAAUACCGCAUACGACCUACGGGUGAAAGCAGGGGAUCUUCGACCUUGCGCGAUUGAAUGAGCCGAUGUCGGAUUAGCUAGUUGGCGGGGUAAAGGCCCACCAAGGCGACGAUCCGUAGCUGGUCUGAGAGGAUGAUCAGCCACACUGGAACUGAGAAACGGUCCAGACUCCUACGGGAGGCAGCAGUGGGGAAUAUUGGACAAUGGGCGCAAGCCUGAUCCAGCCAUACCGCGUGGGUGAAGAAGGCCUUCGGGUUGUAAAGCCCUUUUGUUGGGAAAGAAAAGCAGCAGGUUAAUACCCCGCUGUUCUGACGGUACCCAAAGAAUAAGCACCGGCUAACUUCGUG
rnacentral:rRNA from 1 species